AGAUAUGAGGGCAAUCUGACUGUGACAUCUGUCACUCUAUUGAUCGCCAGGGUUGAUUCGGCUGAUCUGUCUAGCUAGGCAGGAGUCCCCUUCCUCCCUCACCACUCCAUGUGCUUCCCUCUCGAAGCUGUGCACUCAGGGAAAGAGGAUCAUCCUCAAUAGAGGAAGGCCAGUCUUCAGUCAAGGGUAUACAAGUAGCUGCACUCCUCUGCUAGAACCUCCAAACAAGCUCUCAAGAUCCAUUGGUAAAAGAACCUAGUAGGGUAGUCAAGCUUCCAAGACUCCAGACACAUCUGAAUGAGUUGCUGCAUGUGGCAGUCUGCCUUUCUUU
rnacentral:snRNA from 1 species